GACGAACGCUGGCGGCGUGCUUAACACAUGCAAGUCGAACGGAAAGGCCCUGCUCUUGUGGGGUGCUCGAGUGGCGAACGGGUGAGUAACACGUGAGUAACCUGCCCUUGACUUUGGGAUAACUUCAGGAAACUGGGGCUAAUACCGGAUAGGAGCUCCUGCUGCAUGGUGGGGGUUGGAAAGUUUCGGCGGUUGGGGAUGGACUCGCGGCUUAUCAGCUUGUUGGUGGGGUAGUGGCUUACCAAGGCUUUGACGGGUAGCCGGCCUGAGAGGGUGACCGGCCACAUUGGGACUGAGAUACGGCCCAGACUCCUACGGGAGGCAGCAGUGGGGAAUAUUGCACAAUGGGCGGAAGCCUGAUGCAGCAACGCCGCGUGCGGGAUGGCGGCCUUCGGGUUGUAAACCGCUUUCGCCUGUGACGAAGCGUGAGUGACGGUAAUGGGUAAAGAAGCACCGGCUAACUACGUG
rnacentral:rRNA from 1 species